UAGUAACGGCGAGUGAAGAGGGAUGAGCUCAAAUUUUGAAUCUGGUGUCUUCGAUGCCCGAGUUGUAAACUAGAGAAGUGUUUUCCGUGUUGGACCGUGCACAAGUUCCCUGGAACGGGGCGUCAUAGAGGGUGAGAAUCCCGUAUAUGGCACGGACUCCCUUCACAUUGUGAUACACUCUCGACGAGUCGAGUUGUUUGGGAAUGCAGCUCAAAAUGGGUGGUAAAUUCCAUCUAAAGCUAAAUAUUGGCGAGAGACCGAUAGCGAACAAGUACCGUGAGGGAAAGAUGAAAAGCACUUUGGAAAGAGAGUGAAACAGUACGUGAAAUUGUUGAAAGGGAA
rnacentral:rRNA from 1 species